rnacentral:rRNA from 1 species
UGAGGAAUAUUGGUCAAUGGGCGCAAGCCUGAACCAGCCAAGUCGCGUGAGGGAAGACGGUCCUAUGGAUUGUUAAACCUCUUUUGUCGGGGAGCAAAGCGCGGUACGAGUACCGCGAAGGAGAGUACCCGAAGAAAAAGCAUCGGCUAACUCCGUGCC